rnacentral:rRNA from 1 species
UACAGAGGGGGCAAGCGUUAUUCGGAAUUAUUGGGCGUAAAGGGCGCGUAGGCGGCCUGGCAAGUGGAUGGUGAAAUCCCUCGGCUUAACCGAGGAACUGCCGUCCAAACUGCUUGGCUUGAGACCGGGAGAGGUGAGUGGAAUUCCCAGUGUAGCGGUGAAAUGCGUAGAUAUUGGGAGGAACACCAGUGGCGAAGGCGGCUCACUGGACCGGAACUGACGCUGAUGCGCGAAAGCGUGGGGAGCGAACAGG